AAAAUGCCUUGCUCCUAUUUUUAGCUCUUCCACGGUGUCAUUAGAAUAAUCUGGGAUUGGAGAAUGUUGCCGUGCAAAAUUGCCUGGGAAGCCCUCGCAAACACCCCUCUGGAGCCUGGUGUGUCGGGAAUAAAACACAUCAGGAAGAGCUCAGCAAGGCCUGGUCAGGGAAUGUCCUGCUGAACCAGGAGCAAACUGACUGGAUCAUGGGAAAAGAGUUCUGUGGCCUUGGGGGUCGUGGCCAGGUUGGGGAGCAUCCUUCCCAUCCCCACCAUUCCCUGUGCCAGGAUGCUCCAGGUGCUGCUCCCACAUCCAAGUGAUGGGAAGGGGCCGUGUCCCGCACCGUGACCUCUCCAAAUGGAUCAGCAGCUCCUUAAACCCACCCGACAGCCACUAGCAAACCACGGAAUCAUCCUUUCCUGAUGUCCUCUGGAAUUUCAGAGCAGCCAGACAUGUCCUAGUGCAGCACUUUCCGAGCCUCUUUAGCUGCUGGUGUUGGCUGUUAUCCUCAGGGUUGGAUCCUGCCCUUCCUGGGACAGGGGGUCUCUAAAGCAAACAGGGACCCCAAGGUGAGGUGAAGGGGUGAGAUACUCUCAGGAAGGGGAUGAGAUUUUUGUUCCCAGCAGCUGGAGGUUCCCAGUGGGUGGGAAACACCAAAAAAUGCCCAAUAAAGGGAUUGUGGAUGUGGGUUUCAGCCCCACAAGGGUAGAGGAGCAUCACAGGGAUAUCCUCUGAUAUCCCUGCCCUGCUUUUCCAGAGCAGCUGGAAGGCCUCAUUUCCUUGGAAAUGAGUGGGAAGUAAGCUCCCUAAAUCCUCUGGACAUCAGUCAUCCUGCUGCCAAACUUGUCAGGGCAAUCUAGCUGGAGGGGACACACAGCAACCCCAAUGCACUGGCCACAAACACCUAAUUAGGGUUAAAAUAGCAAAAGGAAAGUGUGGUAAUGCUGGCACUUGGGAUUUUGGGCAAUUCAAGGCUUAGGGAGAGCAACGGAUCUGCUCUGGUUCAUCUCCAGGCUGAUAAAUCAGCUAGAGUAUGGAUGAUCCUCUGGAAAACCAAAAUUCAGGAGAAGCCAGUGGAGGCAAGAGAGUGGUAUCGGAUGGUAGCUGGAAGUCACCAAGUCAUGUCCCUGCUCAGAGGCCACCAAGGCAUCCCCUGGAAUGACAUGUCAGGCAAACUAAAUGUGUUGAGGCAGUGACAGG